rnacentral:rRNA from 1 species
GAUGAACGCUAGCGGCAGGCCUAAUACAUGCAAGUCGAACGGGAUUGAGGAGCUUGCUCCUCAUGAGAGUGGCGCACGGGUGCGUAACACGUAUGUAACCUACCUUAAUCAGGGGAAUAGCCUCUCGAAAGAGAGAUUAAGACCGCAUAAAAUCACACUAUGGCAUCAUAGAAUGAUCAAAUAUUUAUAGGAUUAAGAUGGGCAUGCGGAACAUUAGCUAGUUGGUAAGAUAACGGCUUACCGAGGCUACGAUGUUUAGGGGAUCUGAGAGGAUGGCCCCCCAAACUGGUACUGAGACACGGACCAGACUCCUACGGGAGGCAGCAGUAAGGAAUAUUGGUCAAUGGGCGGAAGCCUGAACCAGCCAUGCCGCGUGCAGGAAGACGGCCCUACGGGUUGUAAACUGCUUUUGUACCGGAAUAAACCUACUUACGUGUAAGUAGCUGAAUGUACGGUAAGAAUAAGGAUCGGCUAACUCCGUGCCAGCCGCCGCGGUAAUAC